rnacentral:rRNA from 1 species
GAUGAACGCUGGCGGCGUGCUUAACACAUGCAAGUCGAACGGAAAGGCUCCUGCUUGCCGGGGUACUCGAGUGGCGAACGGGUGAGUAACACGUGGGUGAUCUGCCCUGCACUUCGGGAUAAGCCUGGGAAACUGGGUCUAAUACCGGAUAGGACGAUGGUUUGGAUGCCAUUGUGGAAAGUUUUUCGGUGUGGGAGGAGCUCGCGGCCUAUCAGCUUGUUGGUGGGGUAAUGGCCUACCAAGGCGUCGACGGGUAGCCGGCCUGGGAGGGGGUACGGCCCCAUUGGGCCGAGGAAAGGGCCCGGGCGCCACCGGGGGGAAGGGGGGGGAAAUUUGGCCAAAGGGGCGGAGGCCUGGGCGAGGGCCCCCGGGUGGGGGAGGACGGCUUUUGGGGUGGAAACCCCUUUAGCUAGGAACGAGGGGAAAUGACGGUUCCCGGGGAAAAAACCCCGGCUAAAUUAGUG